GUUUCUCCAUGGGUGGGGAUUUGUUGCAUUACUUGUAGCUAUACAUAGAGUAUUGCACUUGUCCCGGCCUGUGGAGGAAAG
rnacentral:pre_miRNA from 1 species